CAUCGAGUUUACUGAUGCAGUUGUUAUUUUAUUUUAGAAAAUUGAUUAGAUUAUUAUUGACAAUUGGUUCUCUGUAUGUAGCUUUUUAGGAUAUUCAUUGUGCAAGGAUCAACAAAGUAAUUGGAUCAUCAAUAAAUCGACUGUUGUAUUGCUUAAA